GCACCCGUGGCUCAAUUGGUAGAGCAACUGACUCUUAAUCAGUGGGUUGGAGGUUCGAGUCCUCCCGGGUGCA
rnacentral:tRNA from 1 species